UGGAGGGAGGCAAGGAAAUAAUUUUGUGCUAUUUUCUCUUAAUAGUCUUAAGUUUUAACCGAAAAUUUUGCUACACAUGCCUAAAAACAUGCAAGUUGUUUCUUACGAAGCGUUCUCCGCUUUUCGAGGUAGCCGUUCCCUAUCAUGCAAGCUCUUUGAGGACUACCACACCUUCAAAAGACCCGAUUUAAAUCAGAGUGGAGGGAAAGUCCUUGUCACCUAAAAAGAUUGAGAAAAAGCUGAACAUCCAUGUGGACUCCAAGGUUGAGUGGCCUUCGUAGCAAAAAGAUAGAAAAUUUAAGACUGUCUCAGAAGGCACAUUUAGUUAUCCCUUAAAUGGCUAACAACUGCUCCAGUAUACUGAGAGAGCAGAUGGUCCAACAAAUAACAUCACUUCUCUGUGAAAGAAAUAGACAGGAAGAGGAAUAUUGGUAGCUGUGGUCGAUGAUGUAAUUGAUGGGAAUCAUCCUGAACUUUCAGUUAACUAUGUCGUAAAUUAUACAGUCAAGUUACUUUAACAUACUUCGGUACCUUUGUGAUAACAGUAUGAUCGACAUAAAUUUUGAGAUUACUUUUUUUGUAAGACUGAUUUGGCAGCUAAGUCAAGCCAUUACACUUGAACCUCAAACUGUUACAUAUUUCCUUAUAAAAAACGGCAAUUAAAAGAAUACAGAGUUAGAUCAAGAAAAAAAUUUGAGUUGUUUACUUAAGUUUGAGUAAUAUUGUUUCUUGUCACCUGUUUGCUGGAAAUGUUUGCUGGAAAUGUUUGGAUGUUGCAGGGGGAAGUUACAAGUUAAUCACUUUUAGGAGUUAAAGGGUUAAAAAUCUUUCUGGUGAAUUUUAAAAUUUAUGUAUCUUUAUUUGUGUUGUUUAUAACACUAAAAUUGAAAAUAUCAGGGAUUCGUACCAUUCUCUACUCCUUAUGUAACCAUUUUAUUAGUAAUUUGGUUACUGUUAUUAUUAAUUGACACUGUGGGGGUCUGUAAGGCUCAGUUUUCCCCCUGGACUAGUACCAGUAGAUAACUUAUUUGUUGUUUUGGUUUGGUUUUGUUCUGGUUUGCUACAAAGGGCAAGGAAAAAAACUCUGGACCAUGGCCAGCAUAUAGUCAAAAGGUGGACCAGUUUAACAAAAGCAUACCUAUCCAAUCAGUGUAAUGUAUUUAGGAGUCCUACCAAAUCAGAUUCAUGUAUUUAAGAGGCCUGCCAGUCAACAUGAUUCAGAAAAAUGAAUAUGUAUAUAUCUGUAAUUGAUACAUUACAAUAUGAACUAGCAUAUGAUGAAAGAUGAUGCAAAUUAGAGAUAAACCUCUGAUGGUUCCAGCUGCUUUCUUAGGUAUUUUAGUGUCCAGCCUUUUUUGGUUGGAGCAAUGAAUUAUUUACAGUUUAAAAUUUUUGUUCAAAAUACAAUUCUAAGUUCAAAAUCCUAACAAACUUAUGGAGUCUUGUAAAAUUUGUAAAUAUCCAUUGAGGUAAAUACAUAAUAUUUAUCAAUGUCAGUGUGGUCUUGUUGAGAAGAAUAUUGACAACAUUACCCUUGAUUUGUGAUGAUGUAAAACUACAA
rnacentral:lncRNA from 1 species